rnacentral:rRNA from 1 species
AUUGAACGCUGGCGGUAGGCUUAACACAUGCAAGUCGUGCGAGAAAGUAUCUUCGGAUAUGAGUAGAGCGGCGGACGGGUGAGUAACGCGUAGGAAUCUACCUAGUAGAAGGGGAUAGCCCGGGGAAACUCGGAUUAAUACCGUAUACCUCCUUCGGGAGAAAGAAGGCCUCUCUUUGAAGCUUUCGCUAUUAGAUGAGCCUGCGUAAGAUUAGCUUGUUGGUGAGGUAAAGGCUCACCAAGGCGACGAUCUUUAGCGGGUCUGAGAGGACGAUCCGCCACAUUGGGACUGAGACACGGCCCAGACUCCUACGGGAGGCAGCAGUGGGGAAUAUUGGACAAUGGGCGCAAGCCUGAUCCAGCCAUACCGCGUGUGUGAAGAAGGCCCUAGGGUUGUAAAGCACUUUAAGUUGGGAAGAAAAGUUAUUGGUUAAUACCCAAUAACCGUGACAUUACCAUCAGAAUAAGGACCGGCUAAUUCCGUGCCAGCAGCCGCGGUAAUACGGAAGGUCCAAGCGUUAAUCGGAAUUACUGGGCGUAAAGCGCGCGUAGGUGGUUUAUUAAGUUGGAUGUGAAAUCCCCGGGCUCAACCUGGGAACUGCAUCCAAAACUGAUUCACUAGAGUACGAUAGAGGGAGGUAGAAUUCACAGUGUAGCGGUGGAAUGCGUAGAUAUUGUGAAGAAUACCAAUGGCGAAGGCAGCCUCCUGGAUCUGUACUGACACUGAGGUGCGAAAGCGUGGGUAGCGAACAGGAUUAGAUACCCUGGUAGUCCACGCCGUAAACGAUGUCAACUAGCUGUUGGAAAACUAUGUUUUUCAGUGGCGCAGCUAACGUAGUAAGUUGACCGCCUGGGGAGUACGGCCGCAAGGCUAAAACUCAAAUGAAUUGACGGGGACCCGCACAAGCGGUGGAGCAUGUGGUUUAAUUCGAUGCAACGCGAAAAACCUUACCUAUACUUGACAUACUUGGAAUGCUUUGUAAUGAAGCAGUGCCUUCGGGAGCCAAGAUACAGGUGCUGCAUGGCUGUCGUCAGCUCGUGUCGUGAGAUGUUCCGUUAAGUCGGAUAACGAGCGCAACCCUUACCCUUAUUUGCCAGCGAUUCGGUCGGGAACUAUAAGGGGACUGCCGGUGAUAAACCGGAGGAAGGUGAGGACGACGUCAAGUCAUCAUGGCCCUUACGUAUAGGGCUACACACGUGCUACAAUGGAGAAUACAGACGGACGCUAAGCCGCGAGGUGGUGCUAAUCCUAGAAAAUUCUUCGUAGUCCGGAUUGGAGUCUGCAACUCGACUCCAUGAAGUCGGAAUCGCUAGUAAUCGCGAAUCAGCAUGUCGCGGUGAAUACGUUCUCGGGUCU